UACGUAGGCAGCAAGCGUUGUUCGGAGUUACUGGGCGUAAAGGGUGUGUAGGCGGUUCUUUAAGUUUGGUGUGAAAUCUCCCGGCUCAACUGGGAGGGUGCGCCGAAUACUGAGGGACUAGAGUACGGGAGAGGAAAGUGGAAUUCCAGGUGUAGCGGUGAAAUGCGUAGAUAUCUGGAGGAACACCGGUGGCGAAGGCGGCGUUCUGGACUGCAACUGACACGUGAGGAACGAAAGCCAGGGGAGCAAACGGG
rnacentral:rRNA from 1 species